rfam:Erinaceus europaeus unplaced genomic scaffold scaffold00740, whole genome shotgun sequence
GGUUUUAUGGUGUAGUGGUUAGCAUUCUUGAUUCUGAAUCUAGUGAUCUGAGUUCAACUCUCAGUGGAACCU